UACGUAGGGGGCUAGCGUUGUCCGGAUUUAUUGGGCGUAAAGAGCGUGUAGGCGGCCAGGUAGGUCUGCUGUGAAAACUCGAGGCUCAACCUCGAGACGUCGGCGGAAACCAUCUGGCUAGAGUCCGGAAGAGGAGAGUGGAAUUCCUAGUGUAGCGGUGAAAUGCGCAGAUAUCAGGAAGAACACCCGUGGCUAAGGCGGUUCUCUAGUACGGUACUGACGCUGAGACGCGAAAGCGUGGGGAGCGAACAGG
rnacentral:rRNA from 1 species